ACUGAACGCUGGCGGCAGGCCUAACACAUGCAAGUCGAGCGGAGUGGCUGACGGGCGAGUAAUGCCUAGGAAUCUGCCUUGCCGUGGGGGUUAACGUCCGGAAACGGGCGGUAAUACCGCAUACUAUCAGAUGAGCCUAGGUCGGAUUGGCGAGUUGUUGGGGUAAAGGCUUACCAAGGCGACGAUCCGGAACUGGUCUGAGAGGAUGAUCAGUCACACUGGACCUGGGCCACGGUCCAAACUCCUACGGGAGGCGGCAGUGGGGAAUCUUGGACAAUGGUCGAAGGCCGAAUCCAGCCAUGCCGGGUGUGUGAGGAAGGUCUUCGGAUUGUAAAGCCCUUUAAGUUGGGAGGCGGUACCAACAGAAUAAGCACCGGCUAACUUCGUGCCAGCAGCCGCGGUAAUAC
rnacentral:rRNA from 1 species